UACAGAGGUCUCAAGCGUUGUUCGGAUUCAUUGGGCGUAAAGAGCUCGUAGGCGGUUUGUCGCGUCUGCUGUGAAAACCUAAGGCUCAACCUUGGGCUUGCAGUGGGUACGGGCAGACUAGAGUGCGGUAGGGGUGACUGGAAUUCCUGGUGUAGCGGUGGAAUGCGCAGAUAUCAGGAGGAACACCAAUGGCGAAGGCAGCUCGCUGGAACGGUACUGACGCUGGAGGCGACGAAAGCCGUGGGGAGCAAACAGG
rnacentral:rRNA from 1 species